rnacentral:lncRNA from 1 species
CCUGGAGUCAAGCAAGCCUCCCACAUCAGCCUCCUGAGUAGAUUGGAGACCUGUUGUGUGUUACCUUUGGAAGGUUUUCCACAGUUGAGAUCCAGUUGCUCCAGCAUCAUUUGUUGAGUGGUCUCUCUUCAUCCACAGAGCUCCAGAGUGUCUCCUCUUACAGGACUUCUACACGUUGGGCACAAAUUUCAGCAUGGCGUUAAGAAGAACUGUGAGUGGGCAUUCUUGCCUUAUUUCUACUUUCAGAGGAAGAUAUUUUGUUGUUCCCUGUUGAUAUUUGCAUUCAGAUGUUUUGUGAGUCCUUCUUAGUAUAUGAAGGGUAUUAUAUUCCAUUCAUUAUUUCAUUCAGUUCAAAAAAUUUUCUACAUUUGACCAUAUAUUUGUGAUAAAAAGAAUGUUUAGCAGUGUAUUUCAAAAACAUAUUUCAAAACAUAUGGGAAUUUUCCAAAUUUUUCUGGCUAUUCAUUUUCUAACUUAAUUGCUGAUAAUUAAGAAAGUAAAUUAUUAUCUUGUCUGAGUUAAGCAUUGUAUGAAUGCCAGUAAAAAGAGAAGUAGAGAAAAUCAUGCAAGAUAAAUUGGGUAUAUAGGUUCCUAAAAUGUGAUACCUGAGCUAGAGUGGAAGAAGCUGCAGCUUUAGAACCAGUUUAGAUUCUUGGUUUGUUUUCAUCUUUCCUUGACUCUGGGCCACUUCUGUAUCACCAACGUUUACAAUGAUUGAAUGUCACUCUAGGUUCAUUUACUUCUUAUUCUAAAGCCAAAUAUUUAGGUCCAUUAGAGGCCAACAUUAUUAUUAAGAGCUCUUUAGCACCCAAUGACAUUUUUCUUUCAAAAAGUCAAUAUUUUAUAGAAUCUAAAUUAAGUGGGAAAAGAGAUUUAAGAUUCGCUAUGAAUACAUUCUAAUUAUUUUUACAACAUUUUAUAACAAGAUUAAACUUUUGGUGAGUUCUGCUAAACUAUGAUAACUACAAAUCUGGAAACCUUUUUCUCCCCCCCAAAAUAAUUUUAUCUUUUAGGUUCUUUCUUCUUUUUUGUUCCUCUGUUUUUGCUGAUACAUUGAGAGUAGAUUUUAGCAAUUUUAAAGUAAGAGGGCUAUUCUCGUCAGUACAAGUUCUCCCAGGAAAAAUUUUUUAAAAAUCAGACAUACUUACCAAUCUGCGAAUAAACUUAAUAGUGAUAUAAAGGUAAAGUCAUGGGAGGAUUAAAAUCUGGAUUAAAAUCAAGAUACGGAAUUCUAUGAAAAUAAAUAUGAUUUCUGAUAUCUUUUUAAAGGUGCUGAACAGCUGAGUACACUCUAUUUUCAAAGAAUAAUGUUUUCCCUGGGUCCCCGGUCAGCUAUGAUUUCCCAGGAUGAUAUAAUGUUUCUUGCACUGGAAAAAUACAUAUUAUUUUUAGGUUAAAAGUUAUAAAAAGUGUUUUAUUCCCUGUGGCUAUCCCUCCUCCUCAAGCUACUAGGAAAAUGGUGAAAACAGAAAAAUCAAAACAAGAAUACCAACGGAUACGUUUUCUAAAACUUAACAUGCAUGUCUUUGAGAAUUCAAUUUUGUUAGCCACAUUUCAGAUAUAUAACCUUUUUCCUUUAAUAAUCUAUGAUUUAAAUGCUCAAAUGUUUUUAAGCAUGUGGUGCUGGCUCCAAAUAACCCUCCAUCUUGAGAGAUGCGACCCUCCCCAGGUUUCUCCCUUCAUCACUACCAGCAUCCGUUCUCUCUCUGGACAAGCUCUCCCUGAGCAGAAGGCUUAAUUGUGAAAUGGAAUGCCCUGGAUAAUGAGAGAAAAAAGGGGAAAAGAAGUCCUUUAGAUAUCAGAGAGAGAGAAUGAUGAUAUAAGGGAUGUGGCAUAUUGAUUUAAAUAUUAGCAUAUUGAUUUAAAUUACCUUGAAGAUAUGUACAAGCUGUAAUUAAGAAUUAAACAUUAGUAGGUGUCAUUUUGAUCAUAAUUAAGGGGCCUCAGGUAGCACUGGCAGCUUGACUUCCACUUGGAAUUUCUUCUUCUAAGUAUUAGGCACGUGCUUCUCUCCGUCACGGUACCACCCAUCCAGCUUGCACUCCUCCUAGGAUCGCUGGAGAUUCGCCUCAUGUUGCAGACCUAACCUGCACUCUGGGUUGUCUUGUUAAUUUCUGAAGUACCCCUCCACAUACAUCUAUCUGUGUGACCGCAUGCCUGGUCUGAUCUUUAUACGGUCAGUAGGUGUUGAGUUUUACCACUCUAGGUUGUCUUGUUAAUUUCUGAAAUACCCCUCCACAUAGACGUAUCUGUGUGACCACGUCCCUGGUCUGAUCUUUAUAUAGUCAGUAGGUGUUGAGUGUUACUGAUUUUUGGUCCCCGAGCUGGGUACAUUCAGGAACACACAUAUGCCCAGGUUUAUGGGCCGUUAUUCACAAGGCUCUCUUAGGUUUUCUAAUGUGAACAUUGUGUAGUCUUGGCAAGACUCAAUAAAAACUCUCUAAAAGAAAAUGGCUAGAAACAAACAUGGUAUAAAUUGCAAUAUCAGAAGCCCUGUGCUGAAAUAAAGCAAGAGUUCAUGUAGCCUGUGUUCAGCUUCUGACCACAGCAUCCAGAGAGAGCCUGCAGUGGGAAUCAUGCUUCUACUGAGUUUUCAAAUUAUGAUCAUGGAACACACAUUCUCCUGGAUGCCAAAGUGACUCAUGUUUCAUGGAUCAGCCUAAAGGUCAGUUCCUCUACUAAACUACUUUGAAUCCAUAGUCCUACAGUUUAAAAAUCUGGAAGGCAAUUCCGAGGUCACCCAGAGUGAUAAGGUCAUUGCAAUAUUUAAAUCAUGAGUUGAAAGCACUUUGCACAAUGUAACAUGCUAUAAAAAAACAAAUAUUUGUAGGAAUUAUUAAGAACCUUCAUCAGCAUUCCUGUGGAGUCAUCGCUAGGAGACUUGUGGUCUCUGAAAAGAGGACUGUUUUUAUACACAAUCAAUGUUUCUGUGUUUUGAUAGACAGAAUCAAUAGCUACCAACUGUUCAGCUGGGCUCAAACCACCAAACAGCUGGCUCUAUAUUCAUAUCCUCGUGGUUCAAAAUACUUUUAACCCUAUGAUGUAUAAAUUCCUACUCUGCACAGUUUUUACACACCGACCAAUAUAUACACAUCACAGAGGACACAUUUAGUGCUGCACUUCCUGCUGUGACUGUUAAAAAAGACAAGGGGCUCCCUGCUUGGCAGCUGUGAUGGCCUAGGAGUCAAUUUCUCAGCAGCACCAUUCUGGAACAUAAAAUCUUACAUUUAAUUAUAUCUACUGCACAGUUUUCAGAGUGUAGCUUAAUAAACAGUCAUCUGCAAAGAUCUAGAACCAGAAAUACCAUUU